rnacentral:rRNA from 1 species
UACGGGAGGCAGCAGUGGGGAAUAUUGCACAAUGGGCGAAAGCCUGAUGCAGCUAUGCCGCGUGUAUGAAGAAGGCCUUUAGGGUUGUAAAGUACUUUCAUCGGGGAGGAAAAACAAAACUAAUAAUUUUAUUUCUUGACGUUACCCGAAAAAGAAGCACCGGCUAACUCCGUGCCAGCAGCCGCGGUAAUACGGAGGGUGCUAGCGUUAAUCAGAAUUACUGGGCGUAAAGAGCACGUAGGUGGUUUUUUUAAGUCAGAUGUGAAAUCCCUGGGCUUAACCUAGGAACUGCAUUUUGAAACUGAAAUACUAGAGUAUCGUAGAGGGAGGUAGAAUUCUAGGUGUAGCGGUGAAAUGCGUAGAUAUCUGGAGGAAUACCUGUGGCGAAAGCGGCCUCCUAAACGAAUACUGACACUGAGGGUGCGAAAGCGUGGGGAGCAAACAGGGAUUAGAUACC